rnacentral:rRNA from 1 species
GACGAACGCUGGCGGCGUGCUUAACACAUGCAAGUCGAACGGAAAGGCCCUGCUGUUGUGGGGUGCUCGAGUGGCGAACGGGUGAGUCACACGUGAGUAACCUGCCCUUGCCUUUGGGCUAACUUCAGGUAACUGGGGCUCAUACCGGAUAGGAGCUCCUGCUGCAUGGUGGGGGUUGGAAAGUUUCGGCGGUUGGGGAUGGACUCGCGGCUGAUCAGCUUGUUGGUGGGGUAGUGGCUUACCAAGGCUUUGACGGGUAGCCGGCCUGGGAGGGGGACCGGCAACAUUGGGACGGGGAUACGGCCCAGACUCCUACGGGAGGAAGCGGGGGGGAAUAUGGCACAAUGGGCGGAAGCCGGAGGCAGCAACGCCGGGGGCGGGAUGACGGCCUUCGGUUGUUAAACCGCUUUCGCCGGUGACGAAGCGGGAGUGACGGUAAUGGGUGAAGAAGCACCGGCUAACUACGUG